CAAGCAGGAUGUCUUUCAAGGAAUUUCAGAAUGAACUCUAUGCUCUUGGUAGCAAGCUAUGGCUCAAGCUCACGGAACUACCCAAGGCUGAACCUUUGGAGAUUGUGUUCUUCUUCAUCAUCAUCUUAUUCAUUGGUAAGUAUGGAUCAUGCUUGCAACUUUCUGGGCUCAUCAGAUGGGUCUAUUUUGUCAUUCAGGAGCUAUGAAUAAUGUAUUCUUCUUUUGAGCUUUUCUUGGUUUCUGAUUCCGAAGCAAUUGUGAUGUUCAGGACAGGCUUUAAGUAAACGUUUGUAAGAAUUCAGUGCAGAUCUAUGCUGCUAAGUUUCACCAUGCAAUAUAAAUGCUGUUUAUGUAUAUGAAUAUUUGUGUGGCAAAUUCAGGACUGGCAGCCAUCCCCUAGGUUCUAUAGCACUUAAAGUUUCAAUCUGAACUUUAUCAUCUGAAUGGCAUGGGAGCCAACAUUUACAGAAAAAGUUAACUCUGGGUCAAAUGGUAGUGUUGCUUUGGGCUCCCGUACUACAAGAUUACGCAGGAGGUAGCUACAAUUUAGAGCUAGCAGCGGAAUCUCCCAGCAUAAAGAGAACGAGGGCCAAUUCACACGUAACUUCUCAUCACUUGCAUUCUCAGAUGAAAGUGUGCACAUCCAUUGCAAAGCAGUAUAUCCAAAGCAGUAUGAAAGCUCCGUCUGUGAUAGAUGUUCAAAUAUGAAACAGUCAUCAAGUGAUUAACAUACAUGUGUCCAAAGAUACACCAGGUGGCAUGGAGCAGUUCCUGAAACAAGUGACAGGUCACGGUACUUUCAAUGAUGAUCAUAGCUUGCAGUGUUUGCUGUGCCGGCUGCUGUAAUGAAGCACCUGUUCACAAGGCUAGGAGGAUCCAAGUUCGGCCAGCAGACUGUGUAUAAGAAUGCAUUAAGAAAAGGGUGUGGAGGUACUGAGGAAUGUGUGCAGACUGCUGCCAGCUGGCACCACAAUACUCUUCUACAAGAUAGUAGAUGAGAGCACUAAGGAAGAGCAGUGAGAAGGAAACCUCGUCCUGCCCAGGGUUUUAUGCCAUGGUCACUGUGGGGCACAGAUGAAGUGAUGGAGUUCAGUAUUUCUCUCUAUGCCCCUUUGCAGACUGUUUACUAUCAAGACAAAUAUAACUGCAUCACGGCUAGCCAGUGAGAUAAUCCAAAAAAGUGUGCAAAAAUGUGAUAAGCAAGUUAGCAGGGCUAAGACUGUUUAUACGUCUCUAGCUGGAGGAGUUCCAGGAAGACGUUGAAUACAAGCAGUUUCCACUGAACUUUGAGCCACGUGCAAUGGCUCAGCAGAACAAACGACAACAUGAGCAGUGUUUCCUCCUCGCUGUCCAACUGUCUGCAGCCAAGAAUACAAGCACAACAAUACAAACAAUUUUACCAUACUAAAGAACUGCUUUGCAACAUGGAAACAAGAAAGACUUUUUGAAUGAGAAAGAAAACACCCAAAUGUGUAAUAUAUAUUUUGAAAGAGGAAAACAUUCACUUUAAGGUAGGCAAGCAAAACGACAUAGUAUUGUGGGGGCUCGGCAUCCUUUUGUUUUCAUCCUUUCACAGAAGAUGGCUCGUUGUCUGUUUGCUCUCUUUGGCAGUUUCCUUUUGUCCUGAAUGGAUGACUUGAUCAGACAUCACAUGCUCUUGUAUUCUUGGCACAACAAUGAACCAAAAACAAACCCCUGUGUUGCAAUAAAAACCAAUCACAACACACAGGGGUUAGUUUUUGGUUCGUUGUUGUGCCAAGAAUACAAGAUGUCUGAUCAAGGUAAUGCAACAUUCAGUUGGCAUAUGAGUUCAGAGACUGUGAAGAAGAGCAUCAGUAACAACUCCCCCCCCCCAAAUUCCUCACUGCCUCCAUCAAGGAAGGAAAACUGCCAAAGAGAGCAAACAGACAAGGAGCAAUAAUCUGUAAAAGGAUGAAAACAAAAGGAUGCUGAGCCCCCACAACACUAUGUCGUUUUUGCUUGCCUGCCUUAAAGUGAAUAUUUUCCUCUUUCAAAAUAUAUAUUACACAUUUGGGUGUUUUCUUUCAUUCAAAAAGCCUGCCUUGUUUCCAUGUUACAAAGCAGUUCUUUAGUAUGGUGAAAGGGGAACAACAUAUUGUUUAUAUGCUUGGGGUUUAUAGUAAAAUGCAUUCUCUUAAAUAUAUGUGAUAUGAAUAGUUUAUAUUUAUAGUUUAUAAUACAUCUUAUUUAAGGCAGUUGUGCUGGGAGAUCUUACAAAAAGAGGGACAAGGAUAAACCCUCCACUUUUAGAGUAUUACUUUAGAGUUAUUUGUGGAAAGAACAUAAUAAAAAAGGUUAAAUUCUUCUAUCCAUUCAUUAGUCUCUGUAGCUUAAAGUGUGCUUGUACGCAGAGCUAAUAAGAUACAGCGAGGGCUGGUUUAUUUCAGGAAAUGUGUGCAGCAGCUGGGCAAGCUAAAGCACAGCCAAGAAUGAACUGAAAGGAAACCCAUUUCCACAAAGGCAGACCUUGUGGACAUUUGGUUUACACUCUAAUGAACUUCAAAAGAGUUACAUGUGUACAAGGCAAAAGGAAUGGAACCAACCACGUGCAAAAGGGGGAGGAUUAUUGCCACAAUGCAAUGAACUACACAGGUGUCAUUCCUAAAAGAUAUAAAUGUCAUCUAUAGCAAAGCCCCUACAUUUAGGAGAUGCACUUAUUCAAAAGAUCAGAUUAGCCCAAGUCGUCAAGACCAUGACCAUGCACCACCAGAAGCGAACAAAGAAUUAUGUGAAGGAUCUGACAGGUUUCUGCAAGUCUUACAGUGUACUCUUAUUCACAACUACUCAUUAAGUUCAAUAGGAGCUACCCACAGGUAAACAAGUAUGAGAUUACAGCAUAAAUAAUGCAUACCUUCAUUUUUGAAAGGGGAAACAUUUAAUCAUUACAAACCUGCACAGCUGUAUAAAAGUCACAGUGAUUAUUAAGCGAGGGACGGUGAAGCUCACAGCGACAAAUUAAGCAGAAAGUAGUGGCCGUGUAUUAUUUAACCAUUACUGUAUCUAAUGUGUGCAGCCUGAAGUGCAAUGGCUAUAUAGGUUCCAAGAGUAGCAAGGGGGAACUGAAGCAGGUCUCUUGCCAUUAUAUUUCAAAAAGAAGAAGCAAUAGUGAAGUAAGGGCCCACAGCAAAAUGGCAGAGCAUUUGCUUUGCACCUAGAAAGUCCCUGGAUCAAUCUUCAGGUAGGGCUAGGGCUGAUUCCUGCCUGAAACCAUGGAGAGCUGCUGCCAGUCAGUGUAGACAACACUGAACUAGAUGGAUCAAUGGUCCAACUCAGUAGAAGGCAAUUAAUUCCCUAUGUUGCUCCUGCCAAUCUUUUGUGACAGAUCUACCUGCUUCCACACAAUUGCUGGAUCAAGCUCAGUUGUUUCUUUUUUCAACUUAUCAGCUGAUGCAACUGAGAAUUAGACAAUUUGUGUGUUUCUACCCUUUCCCACCAAGAUAAAGGCCACUUGCCAGAUUCUGAUUCCUGGGAAGUCUUGCAUAAAUGUACCUCCCUCGGCUUUUGCAAGACUGAAGAUUCUUGACCAACAUUUUAGACUUCAUUGCAUAUACGUUUCUGCAGUUGAAACCGCAGACGGAACACUAGCUGAAGUCAGAAAGGCAAUACAGUACAGUACUAGCAACUAAAAAGCCAGAAAGCAAGACAAUUUUUAGAUCUGUGAAGUUUACAUUUAGUUUCAGCUAAAUUGUAAACCAUAGGUGUUAAAGAUCUGUUCCUGUCUCUUUGGGUGAUGAAGCUUAAGGGCUUACAUGUUAUGCUAAAAAUGCAAAAGGAAAGGAAAGGCAAAAGACAAUGAAAAGGUUGAUAAAAAAAGGAAAGGAAAGGAAAGAUAGGAAUUAUUUCUUAGCUUUUUUUAAAAUGUGAGAACACAGAACAGUAUAUGUUUCAGCACAGUUUCCCUUGUCUGUUACAUUAGUAAAGAGUGUUAAGACCAGGAAAAACGUUUGUAGAUUCAAAUACAAAUCAAUGUGAGAGUGUGAUUACUCCCAACAUAAAAAAAAUUCCUUCAGUAGCACCUUAAAGACCAACUAAGUUUUUAUUUUGGUAUGAGCUUUCGUGUGCAUGCACACUUCUUCAGAUACUCCCAACAUGCAACUCUAUGGGCCUAUUUGUAUGUCCUUUGCAGGUUCUGCUAAUGUGACUGACAUGGUUACUUCCCAUUCACAACACAGACAAUCUCAUACAUGCCUACUGAUACUAUGUUAUAGGUUCCACAUGCUUGUCUGGAAUAAGUUAAAAUAUAUUGGAUGUUCUGGUUCAACGGCUUAACAGGUGGCAUUUUUAUACUAUAAUAUCUAAGCCAGGACUGCACAACAUUGGACCUACCAAGCUGAAUGAAGUCCACCAGCCCUGUAGGCGCAGCCAGCAAGGUGCUCACCUCCUAACACAUUCUUGCAGUCCCAUGAAGGCUGCAAAACCAGAUUUAACAAGCCCCAGCUAAGGUCACUAGUUUUGCAGCCCUGUUUUAACCAACAAACAACUUGUUCCUAAAGACUAACUGCUUUCCCAUAGAUGCACACAGAAAGUCAUUUUGUUUGUUUUGAUUUUUUAAAUGACAGGCUGCAAUUAAAAGUCAUCGACAUAUUAAUUCCACGUGUGCUCUGUUUCAGGAGGCACUUCCUUGUGGGGAGGGGCCAGGUUGGGAAAGCAGAACCAGCAAUCAUGCCGGCACAAAGUAAGAUUGACUUCAAACACAGCUGCUUCUUUAAAGUAGCAAUCCAAUACAGUGAUAUAAUCAUACUUUGCUUUCUACGAUUCAGCAUUUUUGUGUCCUAAAUCUGUACAGAUUCAUUCAAGUUAUUAGGGUAAAACUUGAUAGAACAUGGGAGAUCAGAAAUAGCAAACAUCAAAAACAAUUCACAUGACUUACAAUUACAAAAAAAUAAAAAUGCAAUCAUGGAAACGGGGUGGGACCUUUGUAACACACAGCAGGUGGGAUUCAACAUAGCACUAAGUGAAGAAUGCAUGCACGAAACAAGUUCCACCUGCGGGACAAGAGUUUCCUGGCUUUCCUCCCUCCACGAGCCCCCUAAAAUGUUCUGGGGGUUCCCGCCAGUUAGGCUCCUGCCCAGCAAAUGUAGUUAAGUAAUGUAUAGUCAAAGACCAGAAAGAAGAAACAGUUUUAGCCUGCAUAUGCUCCCAUGUGCCUUCUCCAACUAAGCAAAUAUUACUGAGCUUUGGAGGUGGAUCAAUCCAUAAUAGUACAACAUGGAUAAAAUGAAGCCUGAUUGUAUAAUUUAGGCUUUCAGAUAAGCCUCACCCUCCCCUGGCUGUGUUAAUAAUUUGCUAAAGUACAAACAGAUAUUAGACAUUACACACUUUCUCUUUGCACAAUUAAGGAGGUCUUCCCAGCCGACAGGUUCUAAAAAGGCAACUACAUACAGCUUCAGGGCCUGGCAACGAUGUCCACUUCAAUACAAACUGCUUCUCAAGGCAUUCUAAAACAUCUGAAAACUCGGAUUCUGUCAGAUGACUGGGCUCUUGGGGGACUGGUAGUAAUAGCUUCAUUCGUCAUGGUUAUCAUUGCACUCCUGUUGUUUGCUGCCAUCUUUGGCUGCUGCUCAACUCCAAGGAAUAAAUCAGGCCCCAUAUAAAACAGCAAGAGCAGCUUUGUCUGCGGAAUUUGAAGAAUGCUGAAGUGGGACCAAGAAGGGGGAAGUAUAGUUGCUUCUUGACACCCCUGUUUCACAUGUACAAGUGAACAUUCUACAGCGGAAAUUUGGCACUGUUCAAAGGCACACGGCCAGAUUCCACACGAGGCCUGACACCAACUGAAAUCAGCAUUAAAGAAGCAUGUGCCUGAGCAGGUCUGAUUCACAACUAACUACUUCUAGCAAAGGAAGUGACAAAAAAAAUGUUUAAGAAAUAGCUGGCAUGUAAGAAUUUGAAAAUUCAAAGAAUGUUCAGUUUUCCUUGAAAUUAUACAUUUGUCUUUCUUCUUUUGCAACCAGUAUAAGCAUAGAUAACCUAAUCAAUAGUUAAACUAAAUGAGACUAAAUGAGCUGUAUUUUUAAAAUGCAUCCACAUGAAUCCCUUCCCCUAAUUCUUAUUUUAUUUCCAUAAUCUUCCAAAGGCAGCUGGCUGAUAGAGCUGAGCCAAAGGGUGGAGGAAUAAUGCCCAUUUCAUUAAAAUCUUCAAUAUAAUUGAUGAUCCUCUUUCUUUUAGAGAUGUUUCAGGCUUUCAGAAGGGUUGAAAAAUCACUUUGCUUGUUAGUAAUUCUUGAAUGGAAAGGAUGACCAGUAUAGAACACAUUGCUCUCUCUAAAUGAGAUUCAUCUGUCACUAGAGAGUUUAGCACCUAGCCCACCCAGGCAUAGGCAAACUUGGCCCUCCAGAUGUUUUGGGACUACAACUCCCAUCAUC